CCACAGGAAACUCUCUGCACAUCCUGAUGUUCAUCGUUCCUGCUCUACUUGUCCUGAUGAUCAUCAUUUUAAUCGUCGUAGUUUUAAGACUCAGGAAGAAGAAAUCUAUUCAACAAGGAACAACAAACACCAAAUCCCCUUCUGGAUUUUUGGGUUGGUGUAAUGGUACCAGGAGGAGGAGCCUGACAAAUGAGAAUGUCUCUGUGGAGCCUUUCAGGAGCAGAGACGACCUCUUGACAGAGCAGUGUCCGCGUCCAGAUGCCCAACGACACCAGCCUCUUCCAGACAGCACGUAAGACCACACCCACUCAACACACUGUCCCCACCCAGGACAAGGAACACUGUGUGGGACAGAGUCAGACAUGGACUGCUGCUCAUGCUGGAGUCAAAGCAU